rnacentral:rRNA from 1 species
GUGGGGAAUAUUGGACAAUGGGCGCAAGCCUGAUCCAGCCAUGCCGCGUGAGUGAUGAAGGCCUUAGGGUUGUAAAGCUCUUUUGUCCGGGAAGAUAAUGACUGUACCGGAAGAAUAAGCCCCGGCUAACUUCGUGCCAGCAGCCGCGGUAAUACGAAGGGGGCUAGCGUUGUUCGGAAUCACUGGGCGUAAAGCGCACGUAGGCGGACCAUUAAGUCAGGGGUGAAAGCCUGGAGCUCAACUCCAGAACUGCCUUUGAUACUGAUGGUCUCGAGUUCGGAAGAGGUUGGUGGAACUGCGAGUGUAGAGGUGAAAUUCGUAGAUAUUCGCAAGAACACCAGUGGCGAAGGCGGCCAACUGGUCCGAUACUGACGCUGAGGUGCGAAAGCGUGGGGAGCAAACAGGAUUAGAAACCCCGGUAGUCC